rnacentral:lncRNA from 1 species
GUUUGCCGUCCCCCUCACAUCCACGAAUAACUGGGUCCCACUGGAUGGGACAAUACAUGCCAUGUAGAAUGUAACACCAUGUUUCUACAGUUGAAAGAAGCGUUUAAAUAAAGAUGAAUAUAAGAAGAGAGAUAGACAAUGCAGAGAGAAAGAGGGACAAAGAACCCGCAAAGAAAGCAGAAAAGCAGGCAAUCUUCUCCUUAGCAUGGGGCAGAACAGUUCUGUUCUUAACAACAGGGCUUAGACUUACUAAAGAGAAUAAAGCUUUUUCUUAC